GCCUCGUGACUGUGUCAGUCGGAGCUGCGGGUUACUCGCCCUCCAGAGGCUUCGACGAGCUGUCUCUCUCCAGAGAGGGAACUUGUGUGUCAGCCGCUCGGACCUUUGAACAAAAAGGGGCACCGGACCGGCGGAUGCUCCUGCCGUUUACACAUCAGUACGGUUGAUGAAGAGGAAGUCUCUGUGGCUUUACACUGAUCUACAAUAUUCCUCUGGUUCCUUUCGAUGAUAUGCACAGAUGGUCCAGUGGUGAAGCAUUCCGGUUGGCGACAUGGGUUCACAACGGGGGAGACCUGAGGCAUGUUAUGCAGUGCUGUUUGUCAAGAAUAUCCUCCUAGAUCAUGAACUCCAAAGGGAACCCAAGAUACAAGGUGCAUACCAUUACUGCUCAACUAACCAUGGAAAGAACAUAUUUUUUCCACUACUGAAUACACUAUAAAGACAGAUGCCAUACAUGAUAGAAUGUUCUAAAUCACUUUUUGAAGGUUUAUUAACUCCAGACUAUACCCAGAUGGUUUUGUAUUAGCGAUCUCCUUUUUCAAGGUGUGCAACAUGUGACUUGUAAUUGACCAUAACAAGCUACAGUACUUUACCAUAUUCUGCACCCCUUCGUACUGUUGCGGAUCAGA